UACAGAGGUCUCAAGCGUUGUUCGGAUUCAUUGGGCGUAAAGGGUGCGUAGGCGGCGUGGUAAGUCGGGUGUGAAAUCUCGGAGCUUAACUCCGAAACUGCAUUCGAUACUGCCGUGCUUGAGGACUGGAGAGGAGACUGGAAUUUACGGUGUAGCGGUGAAAUGCGUAGAUAUCGUAAGGAAGACCAGUGGCGAAGGCGGGUCUCUGGACAGUUCCUGACGCUGAGGCACGAAGGUCAGGGGAGCAAACAGG
rnacentral:rRNA from 1 species